AGAGGAUCCUGCUGGAGAUCUCUGCCUGCCUGCCUUCUGAAGUUUAUUCAGGUUGAAUUUGAAGUCUGGUCAGAUGUCCAGGAUUUCCAGAUGUCGAGCAGCCAAGUCAGAGCCAUCUCCAUGUAUCUGAAAAUCCUGGGUAUACAUAUGAGCACGCUUUGUACCAGAAUAAUCAGUGCCAACGAUGUCUCAGACAGAUGUCCAAAUGCAAGUCCUCUUCACAGCAGACAUUACAGCCAAUGUGUGGAACGAUAUGUCCUCAAAUGACUUCUGACCUUCUCUAUUCCCUCAAAACCACACCGAAUACAGACUGUUUUCACACUGUAAAGCAGACUCUUCUGGGCAAAGAUUAGCACAAGGCUGGUAAUGUACCAUAGCAGAGACAAAAAUGCAGUGAAGUAAUGUCAUUGGAUAACACUGAAAUGUUGGUGAGAAGGAAGCCGGCUGCUGACUACGAUGCUCAGAGGUACGGCAUACCUCUCAUCUGCCUGUUAUUCCUCAGAAAGAGUCCUGCCCAGCUCCUGCAGACCUGAAGUCCAGAAUGUCUCUCGAGGUGUGAGCCCAAGGAGGGGCUGGAGCACAUCCAUCUUCCUUGGCACAUGUGUCGCUGAGGAACAGCCUGAGCGCUUUAGGCCAUGGUUUUAUGAACAUCUGAAGGGCUCACCAGCGCCAACCCUUUCUUUUCCCACAGUCGUCUUCCCUGUUUUAAUCAAUUUUCUUCCUUGUCCCAACUCACUCUGAAAGAUUUUGGGGAUCUGGCAAUUUGUGGGGGGAAAAAAAGGAUAUGUGGAUGGUAAUUCAAGCUCUGUGCCCGGCCAGAACUUCAUCACUCUCAGGAAAAUGGUGUAAACACAGCAUUUAUAACAUGGAGAUGCAGUUCUACAGCUGAUAACAAUAAAAGAGGCUUCACUGUAUGAAAAGAUCAAGUUUUACAUCUAUAUAAUCUAAACCGGGUUGGUUUAAAUGCCAGUGCCUUCAGUUCUGCGAUACAUUUUUGCCUAAGUUUAAUAUUGACUUCAUAGGGUGACCUUCAGCUUAUUUCACAAGAACCUUUUCUUUGGUCUUUUGGUAAGAAAAUUAAGAAUGAGGUUCUUGUGUGGGAGGAAUCAUGUUAUGAAUAAGCUCGUUCAGAAUGUAGUAUUUAAUUUUGUCCAAUGUACAUGAAUUUCUCAGUGUUUUGGUAUAUGAAGCCAGAGCUGUGUGUGUAUUUUAAUUAUAUCUCAAUAUAUAUAGUACCAGCUCCCAUCAUUAAUGUCUGGGCCACAAGUCUGAUAGAAAUUUACUUCAUUAUUGUUUUAUUCUAAUUAAUUUGUGUCUCAUCUGGUUCCUUGCUUUUUCAUGAGAGGUGCUGCUUCACCAGCAGGGCUGAUAAAUCCUAUGGCUGAAAAGCUGGAAAAAAAAACAAGUAUAACAUGUGUGUAUUCAUUUGAGAAUAAGUUGAUUUAAUUUAAUCUACUUUAUCUCGUAUAACUUACUUCCAAGACUUGGACUGAAUAAAU